rnacentral:rRNA from 1 species
UUGCACGCUGGCGGCAUGCCUUACCCCUGCACGUCGCACGGUAACAGGUUAAGCUGACGAGUGGCGAACGGGUGAGUAAUGUAUCGGAACGUGCCCAGUCGUGGGGGAUAACUGCUCGAAAGAGCAGCUAAUACCGCAUACGACCUGAGGGUGAAAGCGGGGGAUCGCAAGACCUCGCGCGAUUGGAGCGGCCGAUAUCAGAUUAGGUAGUUGGUGAGGUAAAGGCUCACCAAGCCGACGAUCUGUAGCUGGUCUGAGAGGACGACCAGCCACACUGGGACUGAGACACGGCCCAGACUCCUACGGGAGGCAGCAGUGGGGAAUUUUGGACAAUGGGCGCAAGCCUGAUCCAGCCAUGCCGCGUGCGGGAAGAAGGCCUUCGGGUUGUAAACCGCUUUUGUCAGGGAAGAAAAGGUUCUGGCUAAUACCUGGGACUCAUGACGGUACCUGAAGAAUAAGCACCGGCUAACUACGUG